rnacentral:rRNA from 1 species
AUUGAACGCUGGCGGCAGGCCUAACACAUGCAAGUCGAGCGGUAGAGAGAAGCUUGCUUCUCUUGAGAGCGGCGGACGGGUGAGUAAUGCCUAGGAAUCUGCCUGGUAGUGGGGGAUAACGUUCGGAAACGGACGCUAAUACCGCAUACGUCCUACGGGAGAAAGCAGGGGACCUUCGGGCCUUGCGCUAUCAGAUGAGCCUAGGUCGGAUUAGCUAGUUGGUGAGGUAAUGGCUCACCAAGGCGACGAUCCGUAACUGGUCUGAGAGGAUGAUCAGUCACACUGGAACUGAGACACGGUCCAGACUCCUACGGGAGGCAGCAGUGGGGAAUAUUGGACAAUGGGCGAAAGCCUGAUCCAGCCAUGCCGCGUGCGUGAAGAAGGUCUUCGGAUUGUAAAGCACUUUAAGUUGGGAGGAAGGGCAUUAACCUAAUACGUUAGUGUUUUGACGUUACCGACAGAAUAAGCACCGGCUAACUCUGUGC